UUUGAACUGUGACACGAGGAUUUUCAGUCCUCUGCUCUACCAGCUGAGC
rnacentral:tRNA from 1 species